CUAUCUAUCCCUCUUUGUAACCACCAAAAGGUGAAGAGCCAUCCCCCAUUAACCCAUCUUAAUGCAAUUAAACCUUUGCUUUAUGAUAUGAACCAUCACAUUAUUUUUGCUGCACACUCUCUUCACGCCAGCCUUACAAAGAAAAACAAAGAGUCCUUCUCCCUUCUCGCAUUUUCAGCCAUUUCUGCACACUCAUCUUGUUUACCCCAUAUCUCCUUCGUCUCUUAUUGGAAUUGGACGUGUGAGUAGUCGAAAUUCAUCUACUCGGAGAGAUCUUGCUCGUGGUGUCAUUAUGUUUUGAAGAUACUGGAAGAAUUGGUCGCAGUUUCUGUUUCAAUCAGACGGGUCACCCGGUUUUGUUUUCCUGUCGUACCUUCACAAAUUUGAUCAUUGCAGAAGAUCGAACCGUUGGAUCGCCCUGAAAUUUGGACAGCACGUUUAGGACAUAUGGGCCUUCAUUAUGACUGAAGAGAUUUUAAAUCAGAGCUACAGAUUGACAGGAAUCGCGAUCGGAGCAGAGCAGUACGUGAUGAAAAUGCAAGCAAUUGGAGGUCUUCAAAGGUUAUGUUGAUGACAAUCUUAUUUGGUUUUGGGCUCGGGUUGAGAUGUGAGCAUUAAAAUGUUAGAUGUUUUAGGCCUACUCUUUUAUUAAUUUAAGAGUUAGUUUUCUUUUUGGCUAUCAAUUUAAUUUAUUUAUACUAUUUAUUUAUGUUGGUUUUAUCACUUAGAUAUUUAAACAGAUUCUUGUAGUAGUGACAUUCCCAGAAGACGAUGUUUCCGCCAUCGUCCUAUACUACUAUUAUUAUAAUUUCUUU